GGGUGGCACAGACCAGGGGGUAGCGACUGUUUACCAAAAACACAGGUGCAUGCGAAGGCGAAAGCCGCUGUAUAUGCACUGACGCCUGCCCGGUGCCGGAAGGUUAAGAGGAUCCGUCAGUCCCUUCGGGGACGAAGCGGUGAAUUCAAGCCCCGGUAAACGGCGGUGGUAACUAUAACCAUCCUAAGGUAGCGAAAUUCCUUGUCGGGUAAGUUCCGACCUGCACGAAUGGCGUAAUGAUGGCCAGGCUGUCUCCACCCGAGACUCAGUGAAAUUGAACUCGCUGUGAAGAUGCAGUGUACCCGCGGCAAGACGGAAAGACCCCGUGAACCUUUACUAUAGCUUGACACUGAACAUUGAGCCUUGAUGUGUAGGAUAGGUGGGAGGCUUUGAAGUGUGGACGCCAGUCUGCAUGGAGCCGGCCUUGAAAUACCACCCUUUAAUGUUUGAUGUUCUAACGUUGGCCCCUGAUCGGGGUUGCGGACAGUGUCUGGUGGGUAGUUUGACUGGGGCGGUCUCCUCCUAAAGAGUAACGGAGGAGCACGAAGGUUGGCUAAUCCUGGUCGGACAUCAGGAGGUUAGUGCAAUGGCAUAAGCCAGCUUGACUGCGAGCGUGACGGCGCGAGCAGGUGCGAAAGCAGGUCAUAGUGAUCCGGUGGUUCUGAAUGGAAGGGCCAUCGCUCAACGGAUAAAAGGUACUCCGGGGAUAACAGGCUGAUACCGCCCAAGAGUUCAUAUCGACGGCGGUGUUUGGCACCUCGAUGUCGGCUCAUCACAUCCUGGGGCUGAAGUAGGUCCCAAGGGUAUGGCUGUUCGCCAUUUAAAGUGGUACGCGAGCUGGGUUUAGAACGUCGUGAGACAGUUCGGUCCCUAUCUGCCGUGGGCGCUGGAGAACUGAGGGGGGCUGCUCCUAGUACGAGAGGACCGGAGUGGACGCAUCACUGGUGUUCGGGUUGUCAUGCCAAUGGCACUGCCCGGUAGCUAAAUGCGGAAGAGAUAAGUGCUGAAAGCAUCUAAGCACGAAACUUGCCCCGAGAUGAGUUCUCCCUGAGACUUAGAGUCUCCUGAAGGAACGUUGAAGACGACGACGUUGAUAGGCCGGGUGUGUAAGCGCAGCGAUGCGUUGAGCUAACCGGUACUAAUGAACCGUGAGGCUUAACCUU
rnacentral:rRNA from 1 species